rnacentral:rRNA from 1 species
GACGAACGCUGGCGGCGUGCCUAAUACAUGCAAGUAGAACGCACAGUUUAUACCGUAGCUUGCUACACCAUAGACUGUGAGUUGCGAACGGGUGAGUAACGCGUAGGUAACCUGCCUGGUAGCGGGGGAUAACUAUUGGAAACGAUAGCUAAUACCGCAUAAUAUUGAUUAUUGCAUGAUAAUUGAUUGAAAGAUGCUAUUGCAUCACUACCAGAUGGACCUGCGUUGUAUUAGCUAGUAGGUGAGGUAACGGCUCACCUAGGCGACGAUACAUAGCCGACCUGAGAGGGUGAUCAGCCACACUGGGACUGAGACACGGCCCAGACUCCUACGGGAGGCAGCAGUAGGGAAUCUUCGGCAAUGGACGAAAGGCUGACCGAGCAACGCCGCGUGAGUGAAGAAGGUUUUCGGAUCGUAAAGCUCUGUUGUAAGAGAAGAACGGGUGUGAGAGUGGAAAGUUCACACUGUGACGGUAUCUUACCAGAAAGGGACGGCUAACUACGUG